CUGCAAUGUAUGGUGAUGGUGAUGGUGAUGGUGAUGCAUGCGCGUGAAGGCAGGGCGACAGGAGGGGGACAACUCCCAGCAAUACUUUUGUGUUAACAGAACCAAGAUGCAGCAGCAUGCCAAUGCCAUGAUGAAGACGGGAGGUUAGGAGGUAGGUUGGGUGGUGGUCCUCGCAUUGCAUUGCCUUUUUCUACUGCUGCACGGAGCUCAACUGGUUGGUCCUAUUUACGAUUUGAUUUCAAAAGAUGAAGCAAUUCUUUUGGGACAACGGUCGAUGGAAGGGCGGCAACUCUCCCUGCCCCUGGGGGUCAUAAGAAAGUUUCCCCAGAAAAAAAUGGGGGGAUGGACUCUACCUACUAGUGCUGAGACUAGGCUCUUCCUCGGCUCAUGUACGUAUUAGUUAGCCUGUUGAUUUCACCAAGGUGGUGCCGUACCAGAUUAAGAAAACGCUCAACUUGACACAUGGACGGUGUGGACAUAUGCUUCAGUAAAAAGAGUACAGUUUGCAAGACUGUUAUUACUACUAAUUUGGCGGGCGGGAGGAACGUCAGAGCACUGUCGUAAAGAGACCGCAUGCAGCGUUGCAGCAACCAUGAUCGACCUGUAGAUAAUCAUGUAUUGUAAUGCGUUUUCUUCAGAGGCACGAAAUCCCCUAUCAUUACUUACCAACGACUUC